rnacentral:rRNA from 1 species
AUUGAACGCUGGCGGCAGGCCUAACACAUGCAAGUCGAGCGGAUGAAGGGAGCUUGCUCCUGGAUUCAGCGGCGGACGGGUGAGUAAUGCCUAGGAAUCUGCCUGGUAGUGGGGGAUAACGUCCGGAAACGGGCCUAAUACCGCAUACGUCCUGAGGGAGAAAGUGGGGGAUCUUCGGACCUCACGCUAUCAGAUGAGCCUAGGUCGGAUUAGCUAGUUGGUGGGGUAAAGGCCUACCAAGGCGACGAUCCGUAACUGGUCUGAGAGGAUGAUCAGUCACACUGGAACUGAGACACGGUCCAGACUCCUACGGGAGGCAGCAGUGGGGAAUAUUGGACAAUGGGCGAAAGCCUGAUCCAGCCAUGCCGCGUGUGUGAAGAAGGUCUUCGGAUUGUAAAGCACUUUAAGUUGGGAGGAAGGGCAGUAAGUUAAUACCUUGCUGUUUUGACGUUACCAACAGAAUAAGCACCGGCUAACUUCGUG